GGCUUGAAGACCCGGUCACACUGUACCUGAGUUUUCUGGAUAGGCCUCCUCUUGCUAGCUUCCGACUAGAUCUCCACCGCCCCCUGUCGCCAGCCUCCGAUCAGACCUCCACCGGCCCCCUCCUUCUCCGCCUCCGGCGAUCUCGUCAGCCAUGAGAGGUAGCGGGGCUCAAAACCUCCGCUCGUACAUCUAGUUUUUGAAGUUUCCUCUUCUAUGCAGGUCUUCGUUAUAGACCGUAUCUCACUGUUGUCGCCAUGGCCGUCGUCGCCCUCGGCUUGUCGGAUUCGUGACCUUGCUCAUCGGUCUUGUUGCCCACGGUGUAGGAAGCGACGCUCUCAUCGGCAUCGACCUUCAGGAGAGACAUCGGUGAGCCUAAAUAAUCUUGUCCUCUUUCUAGAAUUGGGGAUGUUUUUGUUCUGAUGGGCACAAAUCGAUGGCGCCCAAAUCGAUCCACCACCACUCGUCUCCGGCCAUCUGUCCAUCCCCACAACACCAUAGCGUCCCUACUCAGGCCAUCUCCAUGAUCAUCUCAGGCCACCAUCCCCUCCAGAACCAUCUAUCCUUCCUGUGCAUAUAUGAACAAACCCCUGCUGCCACCUUCUUUUUCAAUCUAAUAUUUAGUUUGCGUUGAUGGUUUGAUGCUUGUUGCUUUCUUAAUCGCGAGCAUAGGCUUCACUAUAAUCCUAAACCCACCCACGCCACCAUUCACAUCCUUGCCCACACCAUCGAAACGACCAAGUCCACCACCCUUCUCCAUUCCAUUGAACCCCAGAACCUCUUGCUACGUUGGGAAGCUCCUGCCUCUGUAGUUCCCUAAUGUUCUUUUUAGUUUUCAGAGUGUGUCGAGUGUUUACUUAUUUAUGUGAUAUCACUUCCCUGUAAAACUACUUCUCCUUAAAUAAAUUGGCAGAGCCCCUGCCAUUUCAAAAAAAAACAUUGGGAAGCUUAGGAAGCUACUGCUUAAUCACUAUGAAAUGGCAACUGCUUGUUACUGCAAGAUACCUUGGUUCGUGCCUGCAAAUCUAAAAUUAUAUAAGACAUGGCUAUACUGAUGUUUUCGUCUAGGUUAAGCACUGACCACCUUCAGGACUGCUGUUAGUGAUCCCCAUAUUUGGUGAAAACAUGCAUGCUCGCUAUUGCCUUAGCCCAGUGAAGGUUCAACGAUAUCCAUGGCUCAAGCCUCUGCAACCUCAAGUGCAAAGUUUGUGGAGCCAGCCAGAGGGACCGGCAGCAAGUCAAUCGGCGAGCACAAAGAAGGCCCAAGAUGGAUGCUAUCUUUGUGGGUCUUUAGAUGACCUUUUCUACCAUUGACACUGCGGGGCCUGGAUGAAGACAUCUGCUCCUUCUAUAUGCAAUAUUUUGUAUUUUACUAUAUAAGCCGUGCUGCCUUAUCAUUUCCACAGUUAGCAUCGCAACUGGCAGCUCUGAGAUCGACAUCGUCGACAAAUUAUGGCUCAUUUUCAGUAGCUAGGAAGCUACACUCAUGUAACUUUGGGACAUGCUCACUAAACACUGUACUUUGUUAUCACCGAUAUAUACAUGCUGAGUUAUAAAAAAAUAUUGCAUGGACCACCAUUCUGAAAAUUUAAUAGUAAUGGUCACACUACGUCAGUAUCGAACAGAAGGCCUUGCUUUUAUCCGUACUACUACUCUCAUCUCCCUGUCCCCCCCUUCCAUCUUUUUUGCUCUAGAGAUCUUGCGGGUGAUCUCAGGUUCUGUCUCUUAUCAGCUGUGGAUUUUUGUUUAUAUAGAGUUUCAUAUUUUGAUUCCCCCCACAUACAUCUGUUUGAAUUCCAGAUUGGUCACCGCUAUUUAGUUUACUGCAGAUCUGGUGCUGCUUUGUUGAUUGUCGGCUGUCCAGUGUAGGAUGAUAAUCUGGAGAAUGAUGCCUAUGAUCUGUGCCGAUAUUGUUCCAUGUAGCUUGGAGCAGCCUGAUUCUGUAAUUGGAAAAAGCAAGGAUGAUGCUACCAUAGGUCUUUAAAUUGGGAGGUAGAUGUCACUGAGUAGACGUCAUGAAUGUCACUGAGAUCACCCUUUCUCGAUCAUUUAGAGUUCCUAUGGAGGUCUGUCUUCUUUCAUUCUCUCCUCUAUUCAGUUGGAGAUCUAGUUAGUUUAGACUGGAUACAUUUUUGUAUAACAUAAUUGGAUCAUUAUUUCAUCACCUUCAUUAGUACAACUUAUGCUUAUGCAGUACAUCCAGCUUGGGAAUUUAUGUUAUGGAAUUGUGUGUUUCCAAAAUAUUUUAUAUUGUAGUAAUGUAGGCCGGUUCUAUGAUACACUUUCUCUAUUUUAUUGUAUAUAUAAAUAAGAAAUUUUUCUUGCACUGUAUGCUAAUACCCUAAAAUAUGUUUUCACUUGACACUUCCAUGUAGGUGAAGGCCAAAUGACUAUAAUUCGUCUUGGCUAAGGGGUUCCAGGAAGCUCAAGGCUCCUUAAUUUGAUUCUUCACCCGAGGAUGCUUAGAUGAUAUUAUUUUGGAUUGUAUUUGGAUGUCUAUAGUUGCAUGUAUGAUUAAUAUGUUUUGUUGGGAAAUAAAAAUUAGAUAUGAAGAUUGGCACUUUUCAUCAUUUUUUUUUGCAAUCAUUAUGUGUUAAACCUCAUUAUUGAGUUACACA